UGGGGAAUUUUGGACAAUGGGCGCAAGCCUGAUCCAGCCAUGCCGCGUGCGGGAAGAAGGCCUUCGGGUUGUAAAGCUCUUUUGUCAGGGAAGAAACGGUGAAAGCUAAUAUCUUUUGCUAAUGACGGUACCUGAAGAAUAAGCACCGGCUAACUACGUGCCAGCAGCCGCGGUAAUACGUAGGGUGCAAGCGUUAAUCGGAAUUACUGGGCGUAAAGCGUGCGCAGGCGGUUUGCUAAGACCGAUGUGAAAUCCCCGGGCUCAACCUGGGAACUGCAUUUGUGACUGCAUAGCUAGAGUACGGCAGAGGGGGAUGGAAUUCCGCGUGUAGCAGUGAAAUGCGUAGAUAUGCGGAGGAACACCGAUGGCGAAGGCAAUCCCCUGGGCCUGUACUGACGCUCAUGCACGAAAGCGUGGGGAGCAACCA
rnacentral:rRNA from 1 species